UAUUGCAGCCAUAUCACCCUGCAACUCACAACUGGCAACCCACUGAAGCUAAGCAGGUGUGAGCCUGGUCAGUACCUGGAUGGGAGACCUCCUGGAAAAAACUAAGUUUGCUGCUGGAA
ensembl:rRNA 5S_rRNA 5S ribosomal RNA